CGGGGUGAGUAAUGAAUAGGAAUCUGCCUAGUAGUGGGGGGACAACCUGGUGAAAACCAGGCUAAUACCGCAUACGCCCUACGGGGGAAAGGGGGGCUUCGGCUCUCGCUAUUAGAUGAGCCUAUUUCUGAUUAGCUUGUUGGUGAGGUAAUGGCUCACCAAGGCAACGAUCAGUAGCUGGUCUGAGAGGAUGAUCAGCCACACUGGGACUGAGACACGGCCCAG
rnacentral:rRNA from 1 species